AGCGGGCCGGACGGCUGCGGGCACAAGGCGAAAGCCUGUGCGUGAGGAAAGUCCGGGCUCCACAGGGCAAGGAUAACGGGUAACACCCGCCAGGGGCGACCCUCGGACAAGUGCAACAGAGAUAUACCGCCCCGGCUCGCCGGGGUAAGGGUGGAAAGGCGGAGAUAAGCGCCCGCCCGUCGCCUGGAGACAGGUUGACGCUGUAAACUCUAUCCGGAGCAACACCGCGGAGGGACAUACAGGCCGGCCCGGCCGUCCCAUGGAGGUGGCUUGAGCCAUGCGGCAACGCAUGGCCUAGAUAGAUGGCCGUCGAUUACAGAACCCGGCUUACAGGCCCGCUCCA
rnacentral:RNase_P_RNA from 1 species